rnacentral:rRNA from 1 species
GACGAACGCUGGCGGCGUGCUUAACACAUGCAAGUCGAACGGAAAGGCCCUGCUUUUGUGGGGUGCUCGAGUGGCGAACGGGGGAGUAACACGUGAGUAACCUGCCCUUGACUUUGGGAUAACUUCAGGAAACUGGGGCUAAUACCGGAUAGGAGCUCCUGCUGCAUGGUGGGGGGUGGAAAGUUUCGGCGGUUGGGGAUGGACUCGCGGCUUAUCGGCUUGUUGGUGGGGUAGUGGCUUACCAAGGCUUUGACGGGUAGCCGGCCUGAGAGGGUGACCGGCCACAUUGGGACUGAGAUACGGCCCAGACUCCUACGGGAGGCAGCAGUGGGGAAUAUUGCACAAUGGGCGGAAGCCUGAUGCAGCAACGCCGCGUGCGGGAUGACGGCCUUCGGGUUGUAAACCGCUUUCGCCUGUGACGAAGCGUGAGUGACGGUAAUGGGUAAAGAAGCACCGGCUAACUACGUG